rnacentral:rRNA from 2 species
CGAACUCUGGUAUUGAUUGGUGCUUGCAUCAUGAUUUACAUUUGAGUGAGUGGCGAACUGGUGAGUAACACGUGGGAAACCUGCCCAGAAGCGGGGGAUAACACCUGGAAACAGAUGCUAAUACCGCAUAACAACUUGGACCGCAUGGUCCGAGUUUGAAAGAUGGCUUCGGCUAUCACUUUUGGAUGGUCCCGCGGCGUAUUAGCUAGAUGGUGGGGUAACGGCUCACCAUGGCAAUGAUACGUAGCCGACCUGAGAGGGUAAUCGGCCACAUUGGGACUGAGACACGGCCCAAACUCCUACGGGAGGCAGCAGUAGGGAAUCUUCCACAAUGGACGAAAGUCUGAUGGAGCAACGCCGCGUGAGUGAAGAAGGGUUUCGGCUCGUAAAACUCUGUUGUUAAAGAAGAACAUAUCUGAGAGUAACUGUUCAGGUAUUGACGGUAUUUAACCAGAAAGCCACGGCUAACUACGUGCCAGCAGCCGCGGUAAUACGUAGGUGGCAAGCGUUGUCCGGAUUUAUUGGGCGUAAAGCGAGCGCAGGCGGUUUUUUAAGUCUGAUGUGAAAGCCUUCGGCUCAACCGAAGAAGUGCAUCGGAAACUGGGAAACUUGAGUGCAGAAGAGGACAGUGGAACUCCAUGUGUAGCGGUGAAAUGCGUAGAUAUAUGGAAGAACACCAGUGGCGAAGGCGGCUGUCUGGUCUGUAACUGACGCUGAGGCUCGAAAGUAUGGGUAGCAAACAGGAUUAGAUACCCUGGUAGUCCAUACCGUAAACGAUGAAUGCUAAGUGUUGGAGGGUUUCCGCCCUUCAGUGCUGCAGCUAACGCAUUAAGCAUUCCGCCUGGG